rnacentral:rRNA from 1 species
UACGGAGGGAGCUAGCGUUUUUCGGAAUUACUGGGCGUAAAGAGCAUGUAGGCGGUUAGUUAAGUUAAAAGUGAAAUCCCAGGGCUUAACCCUGGAACUGCUUUUAAAACUGGCUAACUAGAGUGUGAUAGGGGACAGUGGAAUUCCUAGUGUAGAGGUGAAAUUCUUAGAUAUUAGGAGGAACACCGGUGGCGAAGGCGACUGUCUGGAUCAUUACUGACGCUGAGAUGCGAAAGCGUGGGGAGCAAACAGG